CUGGGGGACUGUCUCAGCCAAUAGCCUGGUGAAAAUGCAAUGUCAGUAAAGAUGCUGACUACCCGCACCAAGACGGAAAGACCCCGGGAGCUUUACUGCAGCUUGUUAUUGGGUUGCGAGUUUUACUGCGUAGCGUAGUGGGUAGGAUUUGAAGGUUCGAUUUCGGUUGGACCGGAUCCGCCAAUGAAACACCCAUCUGUAAAAUUUGUAAUUCUAACUGGUGAAACCCUUUUAGUUUAGGAGACCUGCCGAUUGGCAGGCAAAGGGAAUGUAAAGUCCGGAGGAGGAGUGUUAGUAAUCAUUAGUAAUAAUGGGAUUUUAUGUUCCCAGAAAAUUUCUCAUAAGCCAAAAGGGUUUCACCAAGACAGUGGCUGGUGGGCAGUUUUGCUGGGGCUGCAGCCUCAAGGCGGCUUGUUACUUGCCGCAGGGGCCAUUGAGAAGCAAUUCUCAAUAGCAAAUUCGACUAUAUGCUGGAAACUCCGCCAGUAUCUCUAGGUACUAUGAUAUUAUGAUAUAUCAUAGUGAAAAUCCUAAGAGUGAUGCGGACAAUCAGCAGGCAACCCCGCUCAAAUUUUUGGAAAUAAAAAAGUGGAUUUCUGGGAUUCAGGAUCCGGCCUCGAUUAGAGGUUGCCAUCCUUUCGGAAGGAUGCCCUGAAAUGCUUCCCACGCAAAAUCCACUUUCAUGCUAGUAUAUCAAAUAAAUAAUGCACUUGUCAAGUGUUUGUUUCUAAAAAUUUGAGCGGGAGAGUCCUCAACGACUGAAAGUCGAACCAGUUAUAUUUCAAAAAAAUGACUGGAUGAUACAGUCUGAACUUAUAGGCGACUAUAAGAUUUGGUAAAUCUCAAUACUUGUAGCCAUUGAGUAAUCCAAACAAUAUGUACGACUUACAAUGUCGUGCAUUCGUAACACUAUUGCCCAAAGAGUAACGGAGGCGUUCAUUAAGGUUGGCUAGCUCUGGAUGGACAUCAGAGCGAUAGUGUAAAGGCACAAGCCAGCUUGACUGCAAGGCGGAUAUGCCGCGCAGGUGCGAAAGCAGGACUUAGUGAACCGAUGGUACCUCGUAGGAGGGCCAGAGAUUAACAGAUAAAAGCUACCCCGGGGAUAACAGGCUGGUACUGCCCGAGCGUCAACAUGGGCGCUCAUUAAAUCGGCUUAUAACGGUGAAACCUUCCUUAAUUUGUGAUAAAAUUAAGAUGGCAAUACCGUGGGAAGAUAAUUGUAAAACAUACUUGUCUUGGAGAAUAAACGAAUAAAACUUAUGCGAGAAACCAAACUAACAGAAGAACAAGUUUCUGUUUUGGUUGGUUCAUUGCUUGGUGAUGGAUAUCUUGACGAGACCACUAUGGGUUACUCAUUUAGAUUGCAUCAUGGAAUAAAACAAAAAGAUUAUAUUGACUGGAAAUAUAAGAUUCUAAGCAAUAUCGUUAAUUCUCCACCAAAAGUGUAUGGGACAAGAGUAUAUUUCAGAACCGUUUCUCAUCCAUAUUUAGUUAAUUUGAGAAAACUAUUCUACAAAAAAGAUAGGAGUAGGGUUAUUCCAGAAAGUUUUCUUGAAAAAUUUCUUAAUCCCUUGUCUUUAGCAGUUUGGAUUAUGGAUGACGGAACAAAUGAAUUAGGCAGUGGCAAAUGCGCGAAGAUAAAUUCUCAAAGUUUCAGUUAUACUGAUCAUGAAGUUAUCUGUAAGCUUUUGAGAAAUAAAUUUGAUUUGAAAGCGAAUAUAAACAAAGGUAGAACCUACUUUCGAAUCAGAUUUCACAAAGAGAGCAUGCCACAACUAAUAGAAAUGGUUCGACUAUAUAUUUUACCCUCAUUGUUUUAUAAACUUAUCCCCGUAACGACUUUGACUUUUUCGCAAGCCAGCGAAAAUAGACAAGAUAGCUAGUGAUGAAAAUCUAAAAUAUUAGAUUUGACGGCUAGUUAUAACACGCCGAUCCCUCUCCACUUUUGCUAAUAUAAAAACAGCAAUUUUAAGCUUAAAAUUGCCAGCGCAAACGAUGCUCAACUUUGUAUUUAGUUGAUGUAUGAAUUGGGUAGCAAAAGUGGGGAGGGAGUGAUAUAGUCUGCACUACUUAAAAAAGUAGAUUAAUUUAGCCAUAGCGACGGCAGUGUUCGGCACCUCGAUGUCGGCUCGCCCUAUCCUGGGACUGAAGAAGGCCCCAAGGGUA
rnacentral:rRNA from 1 species